rnacentral:lncRNA from 1 species
UGGCGUAGGCCGGUGGCUACAGCUCCGAUUCAACCCCUAGCCUGGGAACCUCCAUAUGCCGCGGGAGUGGCCCAAGAAAUAGCAACAAUAACAACAACAACAACAACAACAAAGACAAAAGACAAAAAAAAAAAUGCACUGAAGAACAGGGAAAGGGUUUAAGCAGGGGAGUAGUGCAAUCAGAUUGGCUCAAUCUGCUGGGACUGGGGUUAAAAAGAAGCACAAGCUGAGGCUUGGAGAUCAACUUGGGGGUGGGGAGUGUUUUAUCUAAUGGGACCUGGUUCUGAAAUAGAGGCAGGAAGAAAGGACAGUAGAGGACGUUUGCCGAGUGAAGCAGGAGGUCAAGUGGACAGCAUGGGGGCAGCUGCAGCAUGUGAUGAGCAGAGAGAGGGAAGGCCCCUGGGGCCAGGUGGAUGGUGUGGAUUAGGAAAGGCUGGAGCAGGUUUGAGGCACAUUAAAUCUGAGGUGCCCAAGGGGUAGGAUGGGAAGGUCCCUGAUAUAGUUGUUCCCCCCAACUUGGGCAGCAGAGAAAGGCUAGGAGCUAUCAGUGCAGGUAAUUGGGGCCAUGGGAACCAUGGGGUCCACUCUGCCUACAUUUCUAGCCCAGCAACAGAGAGAGGCUCUUACUGGUUGUUAAACAGCAGAACCAUUGCAAUAUCACCAGAUCCCUCUGGGACCCCUGGGGAACAUUGUGCAAACCAGGACAUGGAUGCCCAGAGGCAGGAAAGCACUGGCUCUAGAACUCUGACCCAGAACUCCUGACUCCCUCUCAGCUUCUACCUUCACUGGGCCCCUUCAGGCUGCCCAUCCAUGGCCACACAGACAUGCAAAACUGCUCAAGUGGACCCCACUUGUGCAUCUAUGGGUACCAUGUUCCCCCACCCCCGGCAGAUGACAUCACCCUUAGCCUGGGGUCUCUUCCAUCGGGCCAUUUCCCAGAGUGGCACUGCAGUACUCAGAAUCUUAUCACUCCUGACCCAGUGAAGGUGGCCAAGGUAGGGACCUCCUCUCCCCCAGGGUCCAGCAAGGAGAGGCAGGAUAAGGGCACCCCCGAGCACAUCCUCUCUUCACAGAAGAUUGCCCGUCUGGCAGGUUGCAACCACAGCAGCACAAAGAUUCUGGUAGACUGCUCGAGGGCACGAUCAGAGACCGAGAUGAUGCGUAUGUCCAAGAAGAUGGUAGGUGGAAGUUCCUUCCAGCUCUCUGACCCAGCUGCCUGCAAACAACUCUUCUGACCUGAUACCCAGACCACCCCAGGGACCCUGACUCAGGAGCACAUUGGGGAGACUCCCUUUAACUCUAGUCCGCUUCUCUUCCCAAAGAGAUUCUUCCACCUGCACUCCCAUGAAGACCCGGAAGAGAUGAACAGGCUCCAUUCUGUAAUCUGAGCAGUUAUUGAACAUCUACUGGGCGCCAGGUAUUUAGGAUACUCGGUAAACUAUUUAGGCCAAAGUCUUUUGCCCGUGGGGCUGGGGUUCCAGUGAGGAGAGAUAAUAAACCCUACAAAUAAAUGAAUAUUCACCUCUGUAGGGAGUGAUAAGUGAAUAGCAACAAUAGGAGCAGGACAAGGAGGCUGGGCAUGUGGGGAGGGAUGGGGUUUUCUUUUUUCUUGUUUUUUGUAUUUUUUUUUCAGGGCCUGACUCAGGCUCAGGUUGCACCUGUGCCCUACCUUUUGGGUGUCAACAACCCAGAGUUCAGUUGGUUCUUGCCUUUUUUGGCAGAUGAGCUACAGCUCAGAGAGGUUGAGUGAGUUGCCCCAGGUCACGUGGCUAAUGAAUGGCAUGGACAGGAUUCAAAUCUGCUCCCUUGGUUCUGAAGCCCAAGCUCUUUACCCAGCUUGAUGCAGGAAGGAGAAGGUGCUGAGCCUCUGGAUGAUGAAAUACUGGGCCAACUCUGCCAGCACAGGGUGAGUCUGGGCCCCUGACUCAUCUGGGCAGUCAUUCUAAACCUGAUGACCAGCUGUUUCAGAUACUUGUCCUUGCAUGUCCCACAGAAAAUGUGUGAUCAACCCAAGCAGAAUGUCCCAUCUUUCCCUAGUCAGUCACCAGGUCCUCGAUGUCCCUAGAAUAGGUUCCUCUUUGUCCCAUGACCACACUCUUCACUCACUCAAGCACUCCACAGUCACUGUCAAUGCUCUCUCAUGCCCAGCUCAAUACUGGGAGCUGGAGUUCAAGGCUAUCACAGACAUGACCCCCUUCUCCAGAGGCUUGUUAAUGUUUAACAGAAACAUCAGGGGAGUUCCCAUCGUGACUCAGCAGUUAACGAACCCAACCAGUAUCCAUGAGGACUCGGGUUCAAUCUCUGGACUCCUUUGAUGGGUUAAGGAUCCAGUGUUCCCAUGAGCUAUAAGGUAGGUCUCAGAUGCAGCUCAGAUGCCACGUUGCUGUGGCUGUGGCGUAGGCUGGCAGCUGUAGCUCUGAUUUGACCCCUAGCCUGGGAACCGCCACAUGCCUCAGGUGUGGCCCUAAAAGCAAAACAAACAAACAAAAAACAUCAAAUCACAAUCUGGUUUAGUGAGGAUUGUGUUGCGGGAUCAGAGGCACUUUGAGAGCAUCAAGGGGUGUCUGACCAAGCUGGGCUUUGGAGGGGUGGGGGGGUUCCCUGGCAGAGAUGCCUAGUUCCCCAUCUCCACAUUCUCUCUGCAUUCUGUCCAUCUUCCUAUGACACUCAAGGGAUCUUUCUGAAUUAUCACCUCUUCAAACUUGGCAUGGCUUCCCUCUGCUCCCAGCUAAAGUCCCAUCCCCUUAGCUUGGCACAAAAUUUUUUAAAACACUUCCUGUUUCAACUCCUCUCCGGAUCCAUCCUCUUCACACAUUCCGUGUUUUUACCUAACCCUGUACUUGCGCUUCCUCCCAAAGCCCUGGGCCUUCAUACCUCCAACCCUUUGCCCAUACUGUUCCCUCUGCCUGGAAGGUGCCUCUUUGCUAUACGCUUUCCUCUUCUUUCUUGAAGAUCUAAGUAUCAUCUCUGAAAAGCCUUCUUGGACCCCCAACUCCCAAGGCAAGGUGAAUGAGGGAAGGGUGAGAGAAGGAGGCAAGAUGCACAGGAAUAAUCCUCUCUUCUGGGCAGAAACCCCAAUGGUGGGAAGCUGCCCCACUGGCUAUGUUACAACAAGGAUGAGAAGUACUUGCAGCUGGAUUUAACCACGAUGGGGGUGUGAAGCUUAAGGAGGAGAAAAUGGCCUUUUGGAUGAGGCUGCACCAGCACUAAGGACUGAGAAGCAGGGCAGUUCUGAGGCUGGCUAUGCAGGAGGGAGUCUUAGGGGUUGUCCCACCUCCCAGGCCUUGAGGAGAUUAGCCAUAGACACAUCUGGGACAAGCAUCUAGGCUCCCUGUUGCUUCAGUCUAGAGCCAGAGAUUUAGCCUUUGUUUGGGGCCCUGAACCACCCCCUUUAGCCUGACAUGCCAGAAUGCCCACCUAUCUCACUGACCAUCAGUUAGUCCAGGCCCUUUCACUGCCCUACUGUGCACAGCUACUCAGACUCAGAACAAAUGCUUCUCCCCCUUCUCCAAAUCCUCCCACCCAUCAAGGUCUACUUAAAGCCACUUCUUAUGGGAAGUCCACCCAGACUGCCACCGCUCCUAUCAUUGCACCUAGCUUGCUAUUUACCAUUUAAUCCUGUGCAACUUUAUGCCUGUUCCCAUUGGCCUGAGGCCUUGGGCAGGUUAUAUGUUACAAGGAGUGAAGCUUUGAUAGCUUGGAAUCUUCUGUUCCCUCCAUACCCAGUUCCCCAGGGCCCCUCCAAAGCCUGGACGCAGGAAUGAUCCUCAAUAAGAGCAUAUGACUUGCCCUGAAUGUUUCCAUCUGUCAGAUGGUUGGGUGAAGUAGAUAGUUUCUCAAUGGGAGACCAUGGAGGAAGGGAGCGCUGCCACUUGCUCCUUGUGAGGCUAAGCCUCCUCUGCUCACGCAGUCAAGGGGAGCUGCAGCAGAGUCGCCUGGCCUGCAGAACACUUGGCUUUUUUCCUUGUUGUCUCAAGUGCACCCCUCAGGACAUCCACAUUCUGAGCUCUCUGUCCAUUGGAUUAGGUCUUGGUGUUGCAUCCAGACUCCUCACUCUCUGGUGUAUCUAGCAACCUGACCUGGGCACACCCCAGCCCGUCCCACAGGUUUUUGUUUGGUUUUGGUCUCCCGCCUUCCUUCCUUCUUUCCUUCCUUUCUAGGGCCACAUCUGCAGCAUGUGGAAGUUCCCAGGCUAGGGGUCCAAUCGAAGCUGCAUCUGCCAGCCUACGCCACGGCCACAGCAACUCAGGAUCUCAGCCGCAUCUGAGACCUACCUCACAGCUCAUGGGAACACUGGAUCCUUAACCCACUGAGUGAGGCCAGGGAUCAAACCCACAUCUUCAUGGAUACUAGUUGGGUCCCUAACCCCCUGAGCCACAACAGGAACUCCCGUUUUGGUUUCUUUGUGGGGUUUUUGAGUGCUCAAGUAUGCCUAACACAAAAUGUACCAUUUUAACAAUUUUAAUUUCAGUGACAGUGAGUAUGGUCACAUUACCAUCACUACCAUCCAUCUUCAGAACUUUUUCAUCAUCCCAAACUGAAACCCUGUAUCCAUUAAACAAUAACUCCCUAUUUCCACUCAUCCCCAAACUCUGGUACCCACUCUUCUACUUCCUAUCCUAUAAUUUGUGUAUUCCAGGUACCUCAUAUAAGUGGAAUCACACAAUAUUUGUCCUUUUUUGUCUGGCUUAAUUCACUUAGCAUAUCUUCAAGGUUCAUCCACAUUGUAGCAUAUGACAGAAUUCUGUUCCUUUUUAGGACUGAAUAAUAUUCCAUUGUGUGUACAUACCACAUUUUGUUUUGGUUUUGAAUGAUUUUUAUUUUUUCCAUUAUAAUUGGUUUGCAGUGUUCUGUCAAUGUUCUACUGUACAGCAAGGUGGCCCAGUCACACAUACAUAUAUACAUUCUUUUUUUCACAUUAUCAUGCUCCAUCAUAAGUGACUAGAUAUAGUUCCCAGUGCUAUACAGCUGGAUCUCAUUGCUUAUCCAUUCCAAAGGCAAUAGUUUCUAUCUAUUAACCCCAGAUUCCAAGUCCAUCCCACUCUUUCCCCCUCCCUCUGGGCAACCACAAGUCUGUUCUCCAAGUCCAUGAUUUUCUUCUCUGUGGAAAGGGUCAUUUGUGUUGUAUAUUAGAUUCCAGAUGUAAGUGAUAUUGUAUGGUAUUUUUCUCUUUUUGGCUUACUUCACUUAGUAUGCGAGUCUUUAGUUCCAUCCAUGUUGCUGCAAAUGGCAUUAUUUUGUUCUUUUUGAUGGCUGAGUAGUAUUCUGUUGUGUAUAUAUACACCACAUCUUCUUAAUCCAGUCGUCUGUCGAUGGACAUUUGGGUUGUUUCCCUGUCUUGGCUAUUGUGAAUAGUGCUGCAAUGAACAUACAAGUGCAUGUGUCUUUUUCCACAUUUUGUUUAUCCAUUUAUAUGUUUAUGGAUAUUUGCCUUGUUCCCACCUUUUGGUCAUUGUGAAAAAUGCUUAUGAACAUUAGUGUAGCAUACCAGAGAUUUUUAUGUCCCAAACUACAAAGUUGACUAGGGUCUUUAUUUUUAGGGGUUUCCUGAGUAUCUGAGAUAACUAGAGGCUGCAAAGACCCAUGUAAUAGGGGGCACCUGAUACUUCAUACCCCAGCAUUUCAGGCCCCAAAGCAAAAGGAUGGUUGGAGGAGUGGGGAGAACCCCUAUCAAGCAAAAGUUUAUCUUCACAACAAUGUUGUCACAUGGAUUUCAUUAAUCCUAUUCUACCAAUAAAGAAAUCAA